rnacentral:rRNA from 1 species
GAGUGAUCAAGUGUCUUAAGGGCAUUUGGUGGAUGCCUUGGCAUGCACAGGCGAUGAAGGACGUGAUACGCUGCGAUAAGCGUCGGGGAGGUGCGAAUACCCUUUGAUCCGACGAUUUCCGAAUGGGGCAACCCACCUUAGAUGACUAGAAAAUCUGUUUUGUUGGAGCAACGCUGGAUGGGUUUACACCCAUACAGACCGCUAGGUCGUCGGCCCAUGUGGGCCGCCCCCGCGGAGCGCCAGCAUUCCUCUGGAAUGCGUACGGCGCGUGAGCGAGAACAGCACAGCUUUCUAGUCAUCAUAAAUAAGGUAUCUAACCUUGAAUACAUAGGGGUUAGAAGCGAACCUGGGGAACUGAAACAUCUAAGUACCCAGAGGAAAGGACAUCAAACGAGACUCCGCUAGUAGUGGCGAGCGAACGCGGACCAGGCCAGUGGCUUUUGUGAAUAAAGUGGAACGAGUUGGAAAACUCGACCGAAGUGGGUGAUAGUCCCGUACACGUAGAAUAGCAGAAGUCCUUGAGUAGGGCGGGACACGUGAAAUCCUGUCUGAACAUGGGUCGACCACGAUCCAAGCCUAAGUACUCGUGCAUGACCGAUAGCGAACCAGUACCGUGAGGGAAAGGUGAAAAGCACCCCGACGAGGGGAGUGAAACAGUACCUGAAACCGGAUGCCUACAAACAGUUGGAGCCCAAGGUUUGUCCUGGGUGACAGCGUACCUUUUGUAUAAUGGGUCAGCGACUUAGUGUAUCGAGCAAGCUUAAGCCGGUAGGUGUAGGCGCAGCGAAAGCGAGUCUGAACAGGGCGUUCAGUUCGAUGCAUUAGACCCGAAACCAAGUGAUCUAGCCAUGAGCAGGUUGAAGGUACGGUAACACGUACUGGAGGACCGAACCCAUAUCUGUUGCAAUAGAUCGGGAUGACUUGUGGCUAGGGGUGAAAGGCCAAUCAAACUUGGAGAUAGCUGGUUCUCCGCGAAAUCUAUUUAGGUAGAGCGUCGACCGAAUACCCCCGGGGGUAGAGCACUGGAUGGGCUAUGGGGACUCACCGUCUUACUGAUCCUAACCAAACUCCGAAUACCGGGGAGUACUAAUCGGCAGACACACGGCGGGUGCUAACGUCCGUCGUGGAGAGGGCAACAACCCUGACCACCAUCUAAGGUCCCUAAGUUAUGGCUAAGUGGGAAAGGAUGUGAGGAUCCCAAAACAACCAGGAUGUUGGCUUAGAAGCAGCCAUCAUUUAAAGAAAGCGUAACAGCUCACUGGUCUAAAUAAGGGUCUUUGCGCCGAAAAUGUACCGGGGCUCAAGCCAUACACCGAAGCUGUGGAUGCACGUAUGUGCGUGGUAGCGGAGCGUUCCGUAAGCCUGUGAAGGGACAGUCGUGAGACAUCCUGGAGGUAUCGGAAGUGAGAAUGCUGACAUGAGUAACGAUAAAGGGAGUGAGAGACUCCCUCGCCGAAAGUCCAAGGGUUCCUGCUUAAAGUUAAUCUGAGCAGGGUUAGCCGGCCCCUAAGGCGAGGCCGAAAGGCGUAGUCGAUGGGAACCACGUUAAUAUUCGUGGGCCUGCAGGUAGUGACGGAUCGCGUGUGUUGUGAGGUCUUAUUGGAUUGAUCUUGCAGCGAAGCGGUUCCAGGAAAUAGCUCCUGCAUAUAGACCGUACCCUAAACCGACACUGGUGGACUGGUAGAGAAUACCAAGGCGCUUGAGAGAACUGCGUUGAAGGAACUCGGCAAAAUGCACGCGUAACUUCGGAAGAAGCGUGACCUCACUAUGGGCAACCAUAGGGGGGUGGCACAGACCAGGGGGUAGCGACUGUUUACCAAAAACACAGGGCUCUGCGAAGUCGCAAGACGACGUAUAGGGUCUGACGCCUGCCCGGUGCUGGAAGGUUAAGAGGAGAGGUGCAAGCCUUGAAUUGAAGCCCCAGUAAACGGCGGCCGUAACUAUAACGGUCCUAAGGUAGCGAAAUUCCUUGUCGGGUAAGUUCCGACCUGCACGAAUGGCGUAACGACUUCCCCGCUGUCUCCAACGCAGACUCAGUGAAAUUGAAUUCCCCGUGAAGAUGCGGGGUUCCUGCGGUUAGACGGAAAGACCCCGUGCACCUUUACUAUAGCUUUACACUGGCAUUCGUGACGACAUGUGUAGGAUAGGUGGUAGACUUUGAAGCAGGGGCGCCAGCCUUUGUGGAGUCACCCUUGAAAUACCACCCUUGUUUUUAUGGAUGUCUAACUGCGGCCCGUUAUCCGGGUCCAGGACCGUGUAUGGUGGGUAGUUUGACUGGGGCGGUCGCCUCCUAAAGAGUAACGGAGGCGCGCGAUGGUAGGCUCAGAACGGUCGGAAAUCGUUCGUCGAGUGCAAUGGCAUAAGCCUGCCUGACUGCAAGACUGACAAGUCGAGCAGAGACGAAAGUCGGUCAUAGUGAUCCGGUGGUCCCGCGUGGAAGGGCCAUCGCUCAACGGAUAAAAGGUACGCCGGGGAUAACAGGCUGAUGACCCCCAAGAGUCCAUAUCGACGGGGUUGUUUGGCACCUCGAUGUCGACUCAUCGCAUCCUGGGGCUGGAGCAGGUCCCAAGGGUAUGGCUGUUCGCCAUUUAAAGCGGUACGUGAGUUGGGUUCAGAACGUCGUGAGACAGUUCGGUUCCUAUCUGCCGUGGGUGUAGGAAUAUUGACAGGAUCUGUCCCUAGUACGAGAGGACCGGGAUGGACGUAUCUCUGGUGGACCUGUUGUGGCGCCAGCCGCAUAGCAGGGUAGCUAAUAUUGGACCAGAU